rnacentral:tRNA from 1 species
GCGUCGGUAGUUCAGUGGUAGAAUACUCGCCUGCCACAGCGGGUGACCCAGGUUCGAUUCCCGGCCGACGCA